rnacentral:rRNA from 1 species
UACGUAGGGCGCAAGCGUUGUCCGGAAUUAUUGGGCGUAAAGAGCUCGUAGGCGGCUUGGUAGGUCGGAUGUGAAACCUCCAGACUCAACCUGGAGUCGCCAUCCGAUACUGCCAUGGCUAGAGUCCGGUAGGGGCCCACGGAAUUCCUGGUGUAGCGGUGAAAUGCGCAGAUAUCAGGAGGAACACCGAUGGCGAAGGCAGUGGGCUGGGCCGGCACUGACGCUGAGGAGCGAAAGCGUGGGGAGCGAACAGG